CCCUUAGAUGUUCUGGGCUGCACGCGCGCUACACUGAUGCGUUCAACAAGUUGGACCUCGUCCGAGAGGAAAUCGGGGGAAUCUUUUGAAAACGUAUCGUGAUAGGGAUAGAUUAUUGUAAUUAUUAAUCUUCAACGAGGAAUUCCUAGUAAGCAUGAGUCAUCAGCUCGUGCUGAUUACGUCCCUUCCCUUUGUACACACCGCCCGUCGCUCCUACUGAUUGAGUGAUCCGGUGAAUUAACCAGAUUGUGGCGAGGGUAGUUUUCUGCUAUUGCUACGAAAAGGUUUGUGAACCUUAUCACUUAGAGGAAGGAGAAGUCGUAACA
rnacentral:rRNA from 1 species